rnacentral:rRNA from 1 species
AUUGAACGCUGGCGGCAGGCCUAACACAUGCAAGUCGAGCGGAUGAAGGGAGCUUGCUCCUGGAUUCAGCGGCGGACGGGUGAGUAAUGCCUAGGAAUCUGCCUGGUAGUGGGGGAUAACGUCCGGAAACGGGCGCUAAUACCGCAUACGUCCUGAGGGAGAAAAUGGGGGAUCUUCGGACCUCACGCUAUCAGAUGAGCCUAGGUCGGAUUAGCUAGUUGGUGGGGUAAAGGCCUACCAAGGCGACGAUCCGUAACUGGUCUGAGAGGAUGAUCAGUCACACUGGAACUGAGACACGGUCCAGACUCCUACGGGAGGCAGCAGUGGGGAAUAUUGGACAAUGGGCGAAAGCCUGAUCCAGCCAUGCCGCGUGUGUGAAGAAGGUCUUCGGAUUGUAAAGCACUUUAAGUUGGGAGGAAGGGCAGUAAGUAAAUACCUUGCUGUUUUGACGUUACCAACAGAAUAAGCACCGGCUAACUUCGUG